UACGUAGGGUGCGAGCGUUGUCCGGAAUUAUUGGGCGUAAAGAGCUCGUAGGCGGUCUGUCGCGUCGGAUGUGAAAGCCCGGGGCUUAACUCCGGGUCUGCAUUCGAUACGGGCAGACUAGAGUGUGGUAGGGGAGAUCGGAAUUCCUGGUGUAGCGGUUAAAUGCGCAGAUAUCAGGAGGAACACCGGUGGCGAAGGCGGAUCUCUGGGCCAUUACUGACGCUGAGGAGCGAAAGCGUGGGGAGCGAACAGG
rnacentral:rRNA from 1 species